rnacentral:rRNA from 1 species
AUUGAACGCUGGCGGCAUGCCUUACACAUGCAAGUCGAACGGCAGCACGGGAGCAAUCCUGGUGGCGAGUGGCGAACGGGUGAGUAAAGUAUCGGAACGUGCCCAGUCGUGGGGGAUAACGUAGCGAAAGUUACGCUAAUACCGCAUACGAUCUAUGGAUGAAAGCGGGGGAUCGCAAGACCUCGCGCGAUUGGAGCGGCCGAUAUCAGAUUAGGUAGUUGGUGGGGUAAAGGCUCACCAAGCCGACGAUCUGUAGCUGGUCUGAGAGGACGACAGGCCAGCCUGGGACUGGGACACGGCCCAGACUCCUACGGGAGGCAGCAGUGGGGAAUUUUGGACAAUGGGCGAAAGCCUGAUCCAGCCAUGCCGCGUGCAGGAUGAAGGCCUUCGGGUUGUAAACUGCUUUUGUACGGAACGAAAAGGUUUGGCCUAAUAAGCUGAGCUCAUGACGGUACCGUAAGAAUAAGCACCGGCUAACUACGUGCCAGCCGCCGCCGUAA